UACGUAGGGGGCAAGCGUUGUCCGGAAUCAUUGGGCGUAAAGCGCGUGUAGGCGGUCCGGUAAGUCGGCUGUGAAAGUCCAGGGCUCAACCCUGGGAUGCCGGUCGAUACUGCCGGACUAGAGUCCGGAAGAGGCGAGUGGAAUUCCAGGUGUAGCGGUGAAAUGCGUAGAUAUCUGGAGGAACACCGGUGGCGAAGGCGGCGUUCUGGACUGCAACUGACACUGAGGAACGAAAGCCAGGGGAGCAAACGGG
rnacentral:rRNA from 1 species